UACAGAGGGUGCAAGCGUUGUUCGGAAUUACUGGGCGUAAAGAGUGCGUAGGCGGUCCCGCAAGUCCGCUGUGAAAGCCCCGGGCUUAACCUGGGAAUGGCAGUGGAAACUAUGGGACUUGAAUCUGGCAGAGGGGGGUGGAAUGCCACGUGUAGCAGUGAAAUGCGUAGAGAUGUGGCGGAACACCGAUGGCGAAGGCAGCCCCCUGGGCUGAGAUUGACGCUCAGGCACGAAAGCGUGGGGAGCAAACAGG
rnacentral:rRNA from 1 species